GAUUUGCACUGUUGCAGCAACAAUACACCCGGUAAAAACAGUUUAAAGCAGGCAGGGCUUGUAUGGCUCAGGGUCCCAGGCCUUGUAUGGGAAGCGUCUGCCCCUUCCCCAUGGCUUAAGUCCUAAAACCAGUGCUGUGUGUUGAAGGAUUCCAUGAAUCCCAGUUGGAUUUGGAAGCUUUGAGUGAUCUAGACACACAUUCCUCUUCCUCCUGCUCACAGAAAAGUCCAGCUUGGCAUCAAGCACCUAGAAAAGACGCUAAAACAAACCACAUCCCCUCCCUUCCUGGCCACAAUCUGCCUGAGUGGCUGUCAACCCUUCCAGGAAGCUCCAUGGCUGGCGCUUGCCUGCCGGGUUGCUAUCUUCCCCCUUAGCUUGUGCUUCCCGCCACGCUCCUAAGAAAUCUAGUGUCCGUGUCUGAGCUCAUUCCACCACAGGGCUCAUUGGAUCAGCACCUGUUGAUGGUGUUUUAUUUUGAACAGAUCUUGAGUCCCAGAUUCUGAGAUUUCCUCACACACUGACAGAUGCUCCUGACACCAUGCCUGCAGCUUGAGCCCGUGCCUCCCUGCUCUGACGGACUCAUCCCCCUGGAAGUGUAAGGCCAGCCAAAUUUGAGGACUAAAAGUCUGAGGGGUUGAACUGUGUCACCAGCCAGAUCCAGCCACAGAACAGUUGUGGGAAGCUUUGGCUCAAAGCAGCAAUGGGAACAUUGUUUGCAAAGCACAAACUCUCAGGACUGAGGGAAUGGCUCCAUUGGCAAAGUGCCCGCCUUGCAAGCUUAGAGGACCUGAGUUCAAUCCCCCGCUCCACACAAGAAGCUGUACUGUGGAGAUGCGGGCAGGAGGGCCCCUUGAGGCUUGCUGGCCAGCCAGCCUGUCUAUUCAUCCCGUGGGAGACUCAAAAAAAAAAGAGUGGCUCCUGAGCGAUGAGACAUGGUGUUGACAUCUGGCCUCCACACACGUGUGCACAUGCAUCAGCAUACACACAAGCACGUACACACAUGCACACAGAGACGCUCGCUGCCUUGGCAUUUCCUUUGCCAACCCCUCUCUGCUCCAGUGAGCAUUCCCAAGGUAUGGCCAAGCAAAAAUGAGCCCCUUCCUUGCCAGACUUUCAGCCCUUCACCCCAAGACCUGGAUUCAGCUAUGUCACAGGAAUUUAGGGACAGGUAAAGACCAACCAGUGAUAUCGACUGGCCCCACAGUCUCAUGCCGUUCUCCCUAUUAACUCCUCAUCCUCUACUGUCCUGAGAGAGGGCCGUACCUUCUUGAAUGUUCUCGACAGCCUGAGGGUAGAAGCACCACGGGAACCCCCGGACACUGUCAUCAAAACAGCAGCCUUUCUCCGUGCACUGCUGGGCGGUGACACCGGGGAAGCCACAAUUUUUCCUCUCCCGGGGGGCCAUGGUACAUGUUUCUAAAGUGAGGACAAAAAGCAGGGGUGAGUCAUAGGCCACAUUCCUGAGGUUGUCACACUGCUCCCUUCUAUGGGGAAACAGGAUGCCGCCUGUAGGGAAGCCAGGUUUGAAUACGCAAGGGGGUACAGUCCUCAUCUGUAGAUGCAGAAAGCCUGGCGCUGGGACAGUUCCAGGGCUCCAGCUUCCUUGGCUGCCAUCUGUUAGGUGAUGUACUGAUUGCUCAUUGGUGUACUUCUGCACUCAGUCAGUAAACUGCUCACCU
ensembl:antisense Gm15318 predicted gene 15318